AACAUGUUUAGCUACUUUGUCAAGUAUAUAAAGCUAAACGUGUUUAAAUUCUAAACACUUUCAAUAUUUAGACACUUUCCUAAACACGUUUAGAAUUACAACACAUUUAGGCCGAAUACGGCAUUCAUAUCACGUGCUAAUUUUUGAGCGGGAAGAAGAAACAAAGAACCCGAAGUCAAAGGCCACGCUGUUUACUUCUGAUCAUAACUGACCGUAACUUGACUGUUUCAGAAAGAUGAGAGAAGUGCAGAGGAAAUCAUCAUCUGUCUUGGCAUGCUAAAAGAGGAGAUAAAGAACAGUAGCAAAUAUGCUGCUAGGCCAUUGACCAGCAGUUGGGUACUAAGAAAGGAGAAGCUCUUAUUGACCUGUAAAAUGAAAACAGGACAUUUUCAAAUUGUUUUGUUGUAGGGAUGGGGUACAAGUAGAAGAUUGGUCAAUAUUAUGUACAUGUACCUUGAUAUGAAUUUAUUUUUGAUUGUGUUCAAUGAUAAACUGGAAAUAAAUGAUAACAUAAAUUC